rnacentral:misc_RNA from 1 species
AUCUUUGGAGAGGGCUCUUCAAAACUGUUCGCUAAAUCAUCAUCAACAGCAGCAGCGGCAGAGUAGGGGAGUUUUAGGGGAACAAGGAGAGAGGUCGUCGAGCUCAGAUGAUGCGGUUGCCGAAGCAGCACCACCGCCUGAGCAAAAUCAUGUGCUUCCCACAUCUGACACCACCUUGGAGCUCAACUCUCAUCUCUCUCUCCCUUACCAUUGGGAACAAUGCCUAGAUUUAAAGACAGGGGAGAUUUAUUAUAUAAACUGGAGGAAUGGAAUGAAAGCCAAAGAAGAU